AGUGAACGCUGGCGGUAGGCCUAACACAUGCAAGUCGAACGGCAGCACAGUAAGAGCUUGCUCUUACGGGUGGCGAGUGGCGGACGGGUGAGGAAUACAUCGGAAUCUACUUUUUCGUGGGGGAUAACGUAGGAAAACUUACGCUAAUACCGCAUACGACCUACGGGUGAAAGCAGGGGAUCUUCGGACCUUGCGCGAUUGAAUGAGCCGAUGUCGGAUUAGCUAGUUGGCGGGGUAAAGGCCCACCAAGGCGACGAUCCGUAGCUGGUCUGAGAGGAUGAUCAGCCACACUGGAACUGAGACACGGUCCAGACUCCUACGGGAGGCAGCAGUGGGGAAUAUUGGACAAUGGGCGCAAGCCUGAUCCAGCCAUACCGCGUGGGUGAAGAAGGCCUUCGGGUUGUAAAGCCCUUUUGUUGGGAAAGAAAAGCGGCAGGUUAAUACCCCGCUGUUCUGACGGUACCCAAAGAAUAAGCACCGGCUAACUUCGUG
rnacentral:rRNA from 1 species